rnacentral:rRNA from 1 species
CUAGUACGAGAGGACCGGAGUGGACGCAUCACUGGUGUUCGGGUUGUCAUGCCAAUGGCACUGCCCGGUAGCUAAAUGCGGAAGAGAUAAGUGCUGAAAGCAUCUAAGCACGAAACUUGCCCCGAGAUGAGUUCUCCCUGAGACUAUAAGUCUCCUGAAGGAACGUUAAAGACGAUGACGUUGAUAGGCCGGGUGUGUAAGCGCAGCGAUGCGUUGAGCUAACCGGUACUAAUGAACCGUGAGGCUUAACCUUACAACGCCGAAG